UGGGUUAGUGGCGGACGGGUGAGUAACGCGUGGGUAACCUGCCUUACACAGGGGGAUAACACUUAGAAAUAGGUGCUAAAACCGCAUAAGCGCACAGCUUCGCAUGAAGCGGUGUGAAAAACUCCGGUGGUGUAAGAUGGACCCGCGUCUGAUUAGCUUGUUGGCGGGGUAACGGCCCACCAAGGCGACGAUCAGUAGCCGGCCUGAGAGGGUGAACGGCCACAUUGGGACUGAGACACGGCCCAAACUCCUACGGAAGGCAGCAG
rnacentral:rRNA from 1 species